rnacentral:rRNA from 1 species
CUAGUAAUCGCAGAUCAGCAUGCUGCGGUGAAUACGUUCCCGGGUCUUGUACACACCGCCCGUCACACCAUGGGAGUCAGUAACGCCCGAAGUCAGUGACCCAACCUUUAGAGGAGGGAGCUGCCGAAGGCGGGACGGAUGACUGGGGUGAAGUCGUAACAAGGUAAC